UCCUCAGUAGUAUAGUGGUCCAGUAUCACCGCCUGGAACGCGGGAGACCGGGGUUCGAUUUCCCUCCUGGGGAA